AGGGCGACCGGAUCCACGCCGCGGGUGACAACCAGGUAGUCGCGCAUCACGAUGCCGUGCCGGUUCUC
rnacentral:sRNA from 1 species